AUUGGAAUGAGAAGAAUUUACAUCCGUGCUCGAGGAUCCAUUGGAGGGCAAGUCUGGUGCCAGCAGCCGCGGUAAUUCCAGCUCCAAUAGCGUAUAUUAAAGUUGUUGCAGUUAAAACGCUCGUAGUCGGACCUCGGAGCGCCCCCACGGGCCCAGCUUUUGCUGUCGCGCCUGUCGGGGUUUGUUCCUUUUUCCGGGACGUGGUGUAGGGGACCUUGAUUGGUUCUCUGCGUUAUCCCCACGGGCCGGACUUUUACUGUGAAGAAAGUAAGGUGUUUAAAGCAGGCCAUUGCCUUGAAUAUGUGAGCAUGGAAUAAUCGAAUAGGACUUGGGCUCUAUUUUAUUGGUUUCCAGUGACCAAGUAAUGAUUAAUAGGGGUGGUUGGGGGCAUUCGUAUUUCAUUGUCAGAGGUGAAAUUCUUGGAUUGAUGGAAGACGAACAACUGCGAAAGCAUCUGCCAUGGAUGUUUUCAUUGAUCAAGAACGAAAGUUAGGGGAUCGAAGACGAUCAGA
rnacentral:rRNA from 1 species